rnacentral:rRNA from 1 species
GAGUGGCGAACGGGUGAGUAACGCGUGAGUAGCCUGCCCCUGAUUUCGGGAUACUCCUGGGAAACUGGGUCUAAUACCGGAUAUGACCCAUCCUUGCAUGAGGGUUGGUGGAAAGUUUUUCCAUCGAGGAUGGGCUCGCGGCCUAUCAUCUUGUUGGUGGGGUAAUGGCCUACCAAGGCGACGACGGGUAGCCGGCCUGAGAGGGCGACCGGCCACACUGGGACUGAGACACGGCCCAGACUCCUACGGGAGGCAGCAGUGGGGAAUAUUGCACAAUGGGGGAAACCCUGAUGCACCGACGCAGGUGCGGGAUGACGGCCUUCGGGUUGUAAACCGCUUUCAGGAGGAAAGAAGCGAAAGUGACGGUACCUGCAGAAAAAGUACCGGCUAACUACGUGCCAGCAGCCGCGGUAAUACGUAGGGGACGAGCGUUGUCCGGAAUUAUUGGGCGUAAAGAGCUCGUAAGUGGUUGGUCACGUCUGCUGUGGAAACGCAACGCUUAACGUUGCGCGCGCAGUGGGUACCGGCUGACUAGAGUGCAGUAGGGGAGUCUGGAAUUCCUGGUGUAGCGGUGAAAUGCGCAGAUAUCAAGAAGAACACCGGUGGCGAAGGCGGGACUCUGGGCUGUAACUGACACUGAAGAGCGAAAGCAUGGGGAGCGAACAGGAUUAGAUACCCUGGUAGUCCAUGCCGUAAACGUUGGGCACUAGGUGUGGGGACCAUUCCACGUUCUCCGCGCCGUAGCUAACGCAUUAAGUGCCCCGCCUGGGGAGUACGGUCGCAAGGCUAAAACUCAAAGGAAUUGACGGGGGCCCGCACAAGCGGCGGAGCAUGCGGAUUAAUUCGAUGCAACGCGAAGAACCUUACCAAGGCUUGACAUACACUGGACCGUUCUGGAAACAGUUCUUCUCUUUGGAGCUGGUGUACAGGUGGUGCAUGGUUGUCGUCAGCUCGUGUCGUGAGAUGUUGGGUUAAGUCCCGCAACGAGCGCAACCCUCGUUCUAUGUUGCCAGCACGUGAUGGUGGGAACUCAUAGGAGACUGCCGGGGUCAACUCGGAGGAAGGUGGGGAUGACGUCAAAUCAUCAUGCCCUUUAUGUCUUGGGCUUCACGCAUGCUACAAUGGCUGGUACAGAGAGAGGCGAACCCGUGAGGGUAAGCGAAUCCCUUAAAGCCAGUCUCAGUUCGGAUCGUAGUCUGCAAUUCGACUACGUGAAGUCGGAGUCGCUAGUAAUCGCAGAUCAGCAACGCUGCGGUGAAUACGUUCCCGGGCCUUGUACACACCGCCCGUCAAGUCACGAAAGUCGGUAACACCCGAAGCCGGUGUCCCAACCC